AUACAGAGGGUGCGAGCGUUAAUCGGAAUUACUGGGCGUAAAGCGCGCGUAGGCGGCUUGGUCAGUCGGAUGUGAAAGCCCCGGGCUUAACCUGGGAAUUGCAUUCGAUACUGCCAGGCUAGAAUGUAAUAGAGGGAAGUGGAAUUCCGGGUGUAGCGGUGAAAUGCGUAGAUAUCCGGAGGAACAUCAGUGGCGAAGGCGACUUCCUGGACUAACAUUGACGCUGAGGUGCGAAAGCGUGGGGAGCAAACAGAAUUAGAAACCCCGGUAGUCC
rnacentral:rRNA from 1 species